UCCCUCUCAGGGUCGCAUCUGGAGAGUUUCCAGUCCUCUACCAGUCUCGGCUACAGGAGGGAGAGUCAAGCAGAGGCCUCUCCAUUCCAUUCCUAGCUUGGCCAGUGGCUAGCGAGUGGAAGGUCAACUGCUACAAGU
rnacentral:snoRNA from 1 species